rnacentral:rRNA from 1 species
CCGUGUACCCUAACCGGCGAAGGAGGGUACGCGUCUACGGCUAAGGUCGGCGACUGGGGUG